CCGCGGGGUCUGAGUUCCGCGGGGUUUCGUUUUGUGGGAGAAGGGAUAGGGCGGGCAGAGCGGGCCGGGUUCUCCUGGGGCAGGGAAAGGGUCUGGCACCGCCGCUUUCCGCAAGUAGACGCGGUGAUACAGGCUCGGGCUUACGGCUGCGCUUUGCCGGGACCAAAGGGUUGCGUAUUAAUUGUCCACAGCUUAUCGUUUUUUACUGUCAGCACGGGGACAACAACAACAACAAAAAAAAAAAAACAAACAAACAAACAAAAAAAAAUGUCAAGCGGAAAACAAAGUGAAAUACAUCGCGCAGCUUUCUUACUCGGAAAGGAGAAGGGGAAAUGGACAGAGAGCGUGCUGAUCGUAUUCAGACCAAAGCUGUGGCAAACCUCUAGCAGCGCGUUAAGCUGCUUCACGUUUGUGCUGGAGGAAAAGAUGCACUGUAGAAACAAUACGUGCAGCUCAACCCCAGCUAAAACAACUUAUCCCAAGGAAAUUCAGGUUAGAGCACAAUGCAAUGAAUGUAGUUCUGUGCAGACGUGCGUUUUAUAUAUGUGUUUGUGUAUGUCUGGUAGGAGGGAGGGAGGAAAAGCGAGUGUGGGAAAGAGAGAGUAAAUAACGAGGACAAGUAAAAUGGGCCGUCAAUGUAUGGGAUUUCUUGACGAAGAGUGCAAUGAGGAGGAUAUUGUAUGACUCUACCAUGGCAAGGGGUAAGAGGAAAGAAAAGGCACCGUUUAUAAAACUAUUUACUUUGGAAAUGCGGGAGUCUUACUGCAACGCCAGUUCCUUCCUGAGCUCUGCCCCAAACACGACUCCACUUCAGUGGUACCUUUGUGCAUCGGGGCACUGCAUGAGCGGCAGGUUUGGCUGCUCAGCUGUAGCUAAACCCGAAUUCGCUUAAAAAAGUCCCUCAUGGCAGGAUUUUCUAACAGGGAAGGUUUUGUGGAGUGUUUGGAGUAGAAGCUUGUGCAUGGUACUGAAGUGCACAAGCCCCAGCCCUGUGAAAUACGGGUGGGUGUGCAGAGGGGAGCCGCUCUCUGCAGAGUGUGAAUGGUGCCUCACCUGCGUGCUCGUCGACGCUGUGGAUGCACCGAACCGAGCGGCGGGGAUGGACCGAGAGUAUCCAGCUCCAGGAUCAGGAUGGGGCUGAAUAGCUGAGCUGAAACGUCCUGGCUGAAGUGCCAUUCAACAGCGAUCUCCGUGCAGCUCUUGGGUAUAACUCGUAAGGAUAGUGUUUCAACCACAUACUUUUCUGCCCCCGCCCUCCCCCCUACCUUUUUUUUUAUUAUUAUUAUUUUAAUUUUUAUUUCGUUUUUAAAUUAAAGGCUAAAGGAAGAAAAGACCCUCUCCAAUGUACACUUAAUGCAUAUAGCGUACUUCCCCUGCACCACCCCCCGCCCCAGCUUCAGCCUUCAAUCCCCCUUCACACGGGUAUAGUGGCUCUGUACUCUCGGGCUCUUUCAAGGCAGUUAAGCUGCUAAAAUGUACUGACAGCUUAAGAAAUGAAUGAGAUUUUUUUCAGCCAUGAAGAAAGGGUAUUUAGUAACCACGCUUCGAUGGCAUCAUGCUUCCAUGAAACGAGUCCGGACACUUUGGUUUAACAAUCAGUAAUAUCACAUUCGGUACAGUAAAUGCCUCCAUGUACGCUUAUAUAAUUCUAUUCCCCCUUGACUAUAACCUUGCCUUAUUUAUUCCAGGUUACCUGGGCAAUUAAGGUAAGGACUGCUCAGCAGAUACUGAUACCCUGCUGCUAAGGCAUGGCGAAUGGGGAUGGAGCAGUGCGCUAACAAAGAGAAAGAGGUAGUCAAACAUUUUGAAGAGGGGUGAAUGGGACUGAAGGUGGAUGGAUGAAUGGAGGCAAAGAGGGAGAGGAAGCAGCAUUCAAUGGUCCGGACUUCUCUCUGAAUUUGUAGAUUUAAGUUUAGGUGUCCGCCUCUAGUCAGCUUCCAGUUAAUCCUCAACAGCUUCUAGUGAUUAGAAGUUAGUCUAUUUAGCAUGCUAUAUCCUUCUUCCUUGGGUUUUAGUUACAAGUUAUACGAUUAGGAUUGCGAGAACAGUAGUGAACUAAACUUCCCAGUAAGAGGUCUUCACACCAGGGAAGUGUUACUUUGCUGCAGCAGCCCUGCCUCGUCAGUCAUUAGGAAGCUGCAGGUUGUCAGAGGCUUCUCUUGCGCGCACACAAGCGCAGACACACACGCGCACACACACAAAACCACAGCACUAAAACUAAAUUAAGAAGCCGAUGAUUAAGACAAGCGUCUACGAGGCCUGUCAUUUCAGCAUCCUUCCAUCAUAACAUUGUGGCACCGAGAAAUUUGCUUGAAAACCCUGGAAAAAAAUGUCUAUGGGAGAGCCUCGUAUUUGAGGCUGUUAAUAUCAAAUAUAGACUGGGAACUGCCUCGGAUGCAAGAUAGUAUUCCGCAGAGGAAAGGAGCACUGCUGAGACCUUGGUGCUAUCCGCGCACUCCCGAAACUCUGGAUUGACUUGAUCGUCUCUGAAAAUGCAGAACAGCCCAUGAGAUCUCUCCUUUCCACCAACCGUGUGGAAGACGCUUGCAGAACAGCCCUGAAAACAAAACAACUUAAUUGAAGGCAGUUCGUGCAACAAUUGUGUCAUGGAAUACCUUACAUUUCUUUAUCUGUAACUAACUUUUAAAAUUUUGGAUAGUUCAAUAAAUGUCAGCUCUGCCAAGCAUA